GACGAACGCUGGCGGCGUGCUUAACACAUGCAAGUCGAACGGAAAGGCCCUGCGUUUGUUGGGCGCUCGUUUGGCGAACGGGUGAGUAACACGUGAGUAACCUGCCCUUGACUUUGGGAUAUCUUCAGGAAACUGGGGCUAAUACCGGAUAGGAGCUCCUGCUGCAUGGGGGGGGUUGGAAAGAUUCGGCGGUUCGGGAUGGAUUCGCGGCUUAUCAGCUUGUUGGUGGGGUAGUGGCUUACCAAGGCUUUGACGGGUAGCCGGCCUGAGAGGGUGACCGGGGACCAUGCGACUGCGGUACGGACCAGUCGCGAACGUGAGGCAACGGGCGGGAGUAUUGCACAGUAAGGCCGAGCCUGAUGCGGAGGCGCCGCGUUCGGGAUGACGGCCUUCGGGUUAUAAACAGCUUUCGCCUGUGACGAGGCGGGAGUGACGGUAAUGGGUAAAGAAGCACCGGCUAACUACGUG
rnacentral:rRNA from 1 species